UGAGUUGGCAAAAAGGUUCAUUUGGAUUUUAACCAAGAUGUUGCGGAAAAACCCGAACGAAGUUUUUGACCAACCCAUUAUUUUGAAGGUAAAAACCAGUUUUGGUGAGGAUUGGAGAGAGAAAGAGAGAUGAGAAUGACUCCAAACCUCUCACCCUGGCAACUAGAAGACCAGGAGACCAUGCCUUUAAACUAAGAUUGAAACGUUUUGGGUGCCAUGGACAGGGAGGAAAGGAGAAAGUAGAGCUGUUAUUUCAGUUUUGUGGACAAUAAAAAAGAGUCUGGAGCUGGAUGGUAGUGUUUGCACAACAGUGUGAAUGUAUGUAAUGCCACUGAGCUGCACACUUAAUAAUGGUUAAGCUUGUAAAUUUUGUUAUGUUUUUUAUCACCACUACCACAUACACACACACACAGACACACACACACACACACAAUUCUAAAGGAGAAAAAAACCCUCUUGGGCCCCACCAUGACCUUGGUCUGGAACAAGAUGUUGAAAUGGAGGUCACUGCAGUAUAGAAGGAGAUAAUGUGGCAAGAAGGGGAGGAAGAAUGCUGAGAGAAGGGACUGGCCACCAGUCCUCUGUCUGGAGUGAGGGGUCCACUGGGGAGACCACACGAGCUGAGGCUGCAGACUCAGGCUGGGCCAGUUGUUGUAGGCCUGGCAGCCCGCCUGUGGAGUCCGGCUUGCCUUCUUAGGUUCUGGGAGCCUCUAAAGGUUUCUGCUCAGGGAAGUGGCAUUCCAAAGGUGUGCAUUUAGAAGAUUAAUCUCAUUAAUCCUUCCUGUUAAACCAUUGCCUAUUAAAAGCAGUGAGAUUGAAGCAUGCAUUUCUAGGAUGACAAUUGUGGUCCAGCAGAAUUUUAGAUACCUGGGCAUGUGUUUAUGAAUUGAGUGGGUUAACUUUUCCACCCAUUUUACAAAUAUUUAUUGAGAACUAUCUAAAUGCCCAUAGUACUCUAGGCAGUGGGGAUAAGGGAUGGGGUGAAUUUAUCAGAUCUCUUCUCUUGACAAGUGUACAGUCUAAGGAGACCCUGUUCCCGAAUAAGAAGUAUGCUGCAUUGUACCCUGUGUUACCACAGAUGUCUCACCAGAGUUCCCGGGAGCUGACAGGAGGGGUGCUUGGCCUGUCUGGGACACCGGGGUGGCUUCCAGGGAGAGACUGUCUGGUGGAUUUGAAGGAUGAGCAGUAUUUUCUAGGCAGAGAUGGCCAGCCUAGGAGGACAGUGAAUCACAACUCACUGGGAGUUGUAAAUUUAAAGAAAAUGUAGAAAUGUUCUCUUUUAAAGCUAAACUCUUAUUUCAUUGGCUUUUAGGUGGUGCUGUCUAACGUGCAUGUUUUUGGACCCAAGCUUAACUUUUCAAAUGUGGAAUGCUAGGCCUUCAUUGGUAAGUUUGUUUGAUGCCUUCUUACCGAAUUAUGCUAUCAAGGAUUGGUAUUUGGAAUGAAGGGCAAGGUCGUUAUCACUGGUACUGCUCUGUGAAGGGUACUGCACCUGUACUCUGGAGAAGCCCACAGCGUAGGUGGAAAAGAUCUGCAGGAGAAGGGAUCUCAAUUUAUGUUUCUGUGGUCGAUUCAGAGAGAGAGGCCAGAGGGGAAGUAUCCCAGGUGCAGAGGAUAGAUAAAGCUGGCCUCAGAGAGGCAGAGCUUGACUGUGUUCUGAAUGAUUGACAAGUCCAGCUGGGGGAUGAAAUAUGCUUCUCUGGCUUGAGAAGGUGGGUAUAAGAUGGAAAGAAAGUGGACUCAGCAAAAGACCCACGAGAACAAAAAUUUCAUCCAAACGAGUGGUGAGUAAGAAGUUUGGCAGGAUCUGCUGGUGGCUGAUUACUCUAAACCAGGGUCAGCAAACUUUUUCUGUAAAGGAUCAGAUGGUAAAUAUUUUCGGCUUCCUAGGCCAUAUGGUCUCUAUCAUGGCUCCUCAACUCUGCCAUUGUAGCGGGAAAGCAGCCAUAGAUAAUAUGUCUGUGAUGGUGUGGCUGUGUUCCAAUUAUACUUUAUUUACAGAAACAGAUAGUGGACCGAAUUUGGCCUGUGGGCUAUAGUUUGCCCACCCCUUUUUAGACCCUGAAUGCUAGGCUGAGGCACUUGGAGACAGCAAGAAGCCAUUGAAGUUAUUUGGAGCAAAGAAGUAAAAUGGCUGAAGUAACAUGUUAGGGGCAUUCUGGACAAGAAGCAUAGACUCUGUUCCAAGGCAGCAGCAGCAGUCCAGGCAUGAAGUCACGUGGCUAACGACAGUUAAGAUGGAGCAAAGGACCAAAAGAAGAGAUAGUGCAAAGGGAGGAACGCAGGGCUUAUGGUAUUGUUAGACUUUAAAGACAGGAGCCAAAGAAGAUGAAUGUUUAAACGUGAUAGUUCAUAACCAUUGACCAAAAUGUGGCAGUUUGGGGUGGAGAAGGAUAGUUGGUGCACCCAGUUUUAGGUAUACUGAAUUCGAGGUGGCAGUGGUUCAUCCACAGGACGUGUCUAAUACAUCACUGCAGAUACACGGUCAGCACCUGGGCUGGGAAGGGUGGGCCUGGAGAUGUAGAAGAGAAGCAUAGGAUUAAUACGCUCUCCCCGUGAUGUGCCGAGGGCGGAGCCUUAGUGAGUGUGCAUAACUCUGGGAUGGAAAAAACAGAAACUGGAAGAGAACCAGAUGCCGAGAGGGAGAGAGUCUCAGGAAGCAGAGAGGAUGGGGCAGCAGAGACCAAGGAGAAAGGGACCUGAGGGAAGGCUGCUGUUAGUGAUAAGGUGGUUACAGCUGGCCUUGAGAACAUGCUGCGGGGAGGCAGAAGGGGGGAGGCAGCGAGGUUGCACAGGGUCCAUCAUAAACGAGGGAUCAAGAAUCAGAGAUAUUAGUAAAAAGAGACCAGUUAUGGAGAGUUUGAGUGGUGAAAGAAAGGAGAUACAAAGAUUUCAGCAUCUGAAUGCCAAAAUAAGCUUUUUAGCUUUGAGGCCAGCAAAGCAUGCUGUGACCGGUCUCCUGUCCUCUGGAGCCAAGUGUGUUUGGGAGUUUGUGUGUACCUUGGGCUUGCGAUUGUGUUCUUACGCUUUGUUUGAGGUGUGGCGUUCCGAGCUCUGCUACAACUUGCACCAGUGGAAUCCAGUCCAUGUCUGGACCCCUGCCACGAGACAAGAUGCGAUCUGUUGGGGAAAUAGUUGCAUUUGCCUGAAUUGGAGGAGAAAAUAGGAUAGAGCAAGAAAUGGAAAUGAAACUCCUUACCGCAGAGUCUGCCCAAGUAUGGGAAUUUGAGACAGUUCCUCAAGUCACUCAACUAGAUAGCAGUUUAUGUUUUGAACACUUUGAGUGUAUGUCCUUGGGUUUGAAUUCCGAGUAGUUUUUGGCUCACUUUUCACAAAUAUAUCAGGUAGAGAUGGAGUCAUUAAAGCAACAGGUGGAACAGGUUUGCAGCCUCUGUUUGGUGAAAUCUCACUGAGUUCCAGGCACAGUGCUGAGUGCUCUGUAGGUAUCAUUUUAAUUUCAUCUUUGCAACAACCAGUGACAGAGGCAUUAGUGUUUCCACUUCAGCAAUAGGAAAUCAAAUCACAAGAGACUGAGUAACCUGCCUGAGGUUAGAAGGGAUUUGAACCCAGAGUAUCUGACCCCUGGUUUGCACUGCUUUCUGUUUCCCACCUAAUUCCCACCUAAAUCCGGAAUUGCUCCUCUGUCUUAUGUAGAAGGAUUGGAGUCAGCAUGAGCUCUUAAGGUUAAAUACUUAGAGCUACAACGGGUGUUCCUGCUUCUUAGGAGUCUAUUAAAAGGAUGGCAGGAGUGUGGGACCCUUGGAAGAGACUAAGGCCAAACUUCAAACACUUACUUGACUGUUUCCCCAGCUGAAAUGUCCCUUUAGGUGGAGAAGGCAGCACCCUUGGGCUUGGAAAGGAAAUCUCACUAGAAGGCGUGACAGUCAGAUUCCAGUCCUAGCUCUGCGGCAGUGAUAAUCUGCUUUUUGUUGAAAUACUUGACUUUCUCUCUGCUCACCUCCAACUUCAGGUUCCAAGGGCAGAGUCCUGUUUUGUCUUGCUCUCCACCAGCAUCCAGGCUGGUAUCAGGUGUGUAGCAUGUGCCCACUGGAUUUUGUUGUUUUUAGUGAACCAGGCAGCCUGGGACAAGGUGCUUAACCUUUGGUGUGUCAGGCACUGAGGCACUGUGGUCAUAGAGGAGACACCAGACAAGUUCUGUCCUCAUGAGGCAGAUGCAUGAGCAGGACAGACAGAGUAGAGGGGGUGAGAUCUAAGGUCAGACAGGCAGGAUAAGCCUCUGAAGAAAGCGGUGAUAAUGCUCUUUGGGAUGACUGCGAAUACCUCCACACUGUUCUCUUUGCUAGGCUUGGUGCGGUUGCUGAUACCAGCUAACUGCUCCCCGCCGCGAGAGCGCCCCC
ensembl:lncRNA